rnacentral:rRNA from 1 species
CAGUCGCCGCGUAAUACGUAGGGUGCGAGCGUUAAUCGGAAUUACUGGGCGUAAAGCGUGCGCAGGCGGUUGUGUAAGACAGGUGUGAAAUCCCCGGGCUUAACCUGGGAACUGCGCUUGUGACUGCACAGCUAGAGUAUGGCAGAGGGGGGUGGAAUUCCACGUGUAGCAGUGAAAUGCGUAGAGAUGUGGAGGAACACCGAUGGCGAAGGCAGCCCCCUGGGCCAAUACUGACGCUCAUGCACGAAAGCGUGGGGAGCAAACAGGAUUAGAUACCCCCGUAGUCCCUGUCUCUUAUACC